UUGAGAGAGGUCAGCGUGAGCCCCUUGCCUCACACCGGCCCCUCCCACGCUGAGAGAGGUCAGUGUGAGCCCUUGCCUCACACCGGCCCCUCCCACGCGGACAGAGGUCAGCGUGAGCCCCUUGCCUCACACCGGCCCCUCCCACGCUGAGAGAGGUCAGUGUGAGCCCUUGCCUCACCCCGGCCCCUCCCACGUGGACAGAGGUCAGCGUGAGCCCCUUGUCUCACACCGGCCCCUCCCACGCUGAGAGAGGUCAGCGUGAGCCCCUUGCCUCACACCGGCCCCUCCCACGCGGACAGAGGUCAGCCCGAGCCCCUUGUCUCACACCGGCCCCUCCCAUGCUGAGAGAGGUCAGCGUGAGCCCCUUGUCUCACACCGGCCCCUCCCACGCUGAGAGAGGUCAGCCCGAGCCCCUUGCCUCACACCGGCCCCUCCCACGCUGAGAGAGGUGUGAGCCCCUUGUCUCACACCGGCCCCUCCCACGCGGACAGAGGUCAGCGUGAGCCCCUUGCCUCACCCCGGCCCCUCCCACGCUGAGAGAGGUCAGUGUGAGCCCUUGCCUCACACCGGCCCCUCCCACGCGGACAGAGGUCAGCGUGAGCCCCUUGCCUCACCCCGGCCCCUCCCACGCUGAGAGAGGUCAGUGUGAGCCCUUGCCUCACACCGGCCCCUCCCACGCGGACAGAGGUC
rnacentral:lncRNA from 1 species